UACGGGGGGGGGCAAGCGUUGUUCGGAAUUACUGGGCGUAAAGGGCUCGUAGGUGGCCAACUAAGUCAGACGUGAAAUCCCUCGGCUUAACCGGGGAACUGCGUCUGAUACUGGAUGGCUUGAGUUUGGGAGAGGGACGCGGAAUUCCAGGUGUAGCGGUGAAAUGCGUAGAUAUCUGGAGGACACCGGUGGCGAAGGCGGCGUCCUGGA
rnacentral:rRNA from 1 species